CCCUUAGAUGUUCUGGGCCGCACGCGCGCUACACUGUUUGAUUCAGCGAGUCUUAACCUUGACCGAAAGGUUUGGGUAAUCUUCUAAAGUCAAACGUGAUGGGGAUCGAUCAUUGCAAUUAUUGAUCGUGAACGAGGAAUUCCUAGUAAAUGCAAGUCAUCAGCUUGCGUUGAUUACGUCCCUGCCCUUUGUACACACCGCCCGUCGCUCCUACCGAUUGGGUGUGCUGGUGAAAUGUUCGGAUCGGCCGUUUGUCGCGGUUUCCGCGGCUCGUGGCUGAGAAGUUCAUUAAACCCUCCCACCUAGAGGAAGGAGAAGUCGUAACA
rnacentral:rRNA from 1 species